AAAGACUAAGCCAUGCACGUCUGAGUGCAAGCCGAAUUAAGGUGAAACCGCGAAAGGCUCAUUAAAUCAGCUGUGGUUCCUUAGAUGGUACGGCCACUUUUACUUGGAUAACUGUGGCAAUUCUAGAGCUAAUACAUGCAAAUCGAGUCCCGACCGCUUCGCAGGCGGAAGGGAUGCUUUUAUUAGAUCAAAACCAAUCGGACUCAGCAGGAGCCGCGAAGUCUUGGUGACUCUGGAUAACUUUGAGCUGAUCGCACGGUCACGCACCGGCGACGCAUCUUUCAAAUGUCUGACUUAUCACUUUCGAUGGUAGGCUCUGCGCCUACCAUGGUUGUAACGGGUAACGGGGAAUCAGGGUUCGAUUCCGGAGAGGGAGCCUGAGAAACGGCUACCACAUCCAAGGAAGGCAGCAGGCGCGCAAAUUACCCACUCCCGGCACGGGGAGGUAGUGACGAAAAAUAACGAUGCAGAACUCUUUCCGAGGCUCUGCAAUCGGAAUGAGCACACUCUAAACAUUUAACGAGUANNNNNNNNNNNAUUGCCACGUUAGAGGUGAAAUUCUUGGAUCGCGGCAAGACUGACGUAAGCGAAAGCAUUUGCCAAGGAUGUUUUCGUUAAUCAAGAACGAAAGUUAGAGGUUCGAAGGCGAUCAGAUACCGCCCUAGUUUUAACCGUAAACUGUGCCAACCAGCGAUCCGUCGAAGUUCCUCCGAUGACUCGGCGGGCAGCUUCCGGGAAACCAAAGUUUUUGGGUUCCGGGGGAAGUAUGGUUGCAAAGCUGAAACUUAAAGGAAUUGACGGAAGGGCACCACCAGGAGUGGAGCUUGCGGCUUAAUUUGACUCAACACGGGAAAUCUCACCAGGCCCGGGCACUGUAAGGAUUGACAGAUUAAGAGCUCUUUCUUGAUUCAGUGGGUGGUGGUGCAUGGCCGUUCUUAGUUGGUGGAGCGAUUUGUCUGGUUAAUUCCGAUAACGAACGAGACUCUAGCCUGUUAACUAGCCGACCGCAAUUCCGGCAUCAAUCAAAUAGCUGCCGGCGGCGAUACUUCUUAGAGGGACAGCGGCUCCUAGCCGCGCGAGAUUGAGCAAUAACAGGUCUGUGAUGCCCUUAGAUGUUCUGGGCCGCACGCGUGCUACACUGAAGGAAUCAACGUGUUAAGCGUCCUAGGCCGAGAGGUCCGGGAAACCCGUUGAAUCUCCUUCGUGCUAGGGAUUGGGGCUUGCAAUUGUUUCCCAUGAACUAGGAAUUCCCAGUAAGCGCGAGUCAUAAGCUCGCGUUGAUUACGUCCCUGCCCUUUGUACACACCGCCCGUCGCUACUACCGAUUGAACGAUUUAGUGAGGUCUUCCGACCUGCACGCGGGAGUCGCUUCGCCGCGACUUCUGCUGAUGCGGGAAAGACGACCGAACUUGAUCGUUUAGAGGAAGUAAAAGUCGUAACAA
rnacentral:rRNA from 1 species